AGUGAACGCUGGCGGUAGGCCUAACACAUGCAAGUCGAACGGCAGCACAGUAAGAGCUUGCUCUUACGGGUGGCGAGUGGCGGACGGGUGAGGAAUACAUCGGAAUCUACUUUUUCGUGGGGGAUAACGUAGGGAAACUUACGCUAAUACCGCAUACGACCUACGGGUGAAAGCAGGGGAUCUUCGGACCUUGCGCGAUUGAAUGAGCCGAUGUCGGAUUAGCUAGUUGGCGGGGUAAAGGCCCACCAAGGCGACGAUCCGUAGCUGGUCUGAGAGGAUGAUCAGCCACACUGGAACUGAGACACGGUCCAGACUCCUACGGGAGGCAGCAGUGGGGAAUAUUGGACAAUGGGCGCAAGCCUGAUCCAGCCAUACCGCGUGGGUGACGAAGGCCUUCGGGUUGUAAAGCCCUUUUGUUGGGAAAGAAAAGCAGCAGGUUAAUACCCCGCUGUUCUGACGGUACCCAAAGAAUAAGCACCGGCUAACUUCGUG
rnacentral:rRNA from 1 species